GACGAACGCUGGCGGCGUGCCUAAUACAUGCAAGUAGAACGCUGAAGACUUUAGCUUGCUAAAGUUGGAAGAGUUGCGAACGGGUGAGUAACGCGUAGGUAACCUGCCUACUAGCGGGGGAUAACUAUUGGAAACGAUAGCUAAUACCGCAUAACAGCUUUUAACUCAUGUUAGGAGCUUGAAAGGUGCAAUUGCAUCACUAGUAGAUGGACCUGCGUUGUAUUAGCUAGUUGGUGAGGUAACGGCUCACCAAGGCGACGAUACAUAGCCGACUUGGGAGGGGGAUCGGCCACGAUGGGACUGAGAAACGGCCCAGACUCCUACGGGAGGCAGCAGUAGGGAAUCUUCGGCAAUGGGGGCAACCCUGACCGAGCAACGCCGCGUGAGUGAAGAAGGUUUUCGGAUCGUAAAGCUCUGUUGUAAGAGAAGAACGUGUGUGAGAGUGGAAAGUUCACACAGUGACGGUAACUUACCAGAAAGGGACGGCUAACUACGUGCCAGCCGCCGCUGUAAAAC
rnacentral:rRNA from 1 species